rnacentral:rRNA from 1 species
CCUACGGGCGGCAGCAGUAGGGAAUAUUGCGCAAUGGAGGCAAGUCUGACGCAGCAACGCCGCGUGAAUGAUGCAGCUCUUCGGAUGGUAAGGUUCUUUACUAAGGGAGAAAGAUAGUGACAGUAACUUAGGAAUAAGCCUCGGCUAACUACGUGCCAGCAGCGGCGGUAAGACGUAGGGGGCAAGCGUUCUCCGGAAUGACUGGUCGUAAAGUGUGCGUAGGUGGUUUGACAAGUUGGUAGCGUAACGCCGGAGCUCAACUUCGGAACUACUACCAAUACUGGUAGACUGGAAUGCAGGAGGGGCAAAUGGAAUUCCUAGUGUAGCGGUGGAAUGCGUAGAUAUUAGGAGGAACAGCGGUGGCGAAAGCGAUUUGCUGGACUGUAACUGACGCUGAGGAACGAAAGCGUGGGGAGCAAAUGGGAUUAGAUACCCGGGUAGUC